CCUACGGGAGGCAGCAGUGGGGAAUAUUGCACAAUGGGGGAAACCCUGAUGCAGCGACGCCGCGUGAGUGAAGAAGUAUUUCGGUACGUAAAGCUCUAUCAGCAGGGAAGAAAAUGACGGUACCUGACUAAGAAGCCCCGGCUAACUACGUGCCAGCAGCCGCGGUAAUACGUAGGGGGCAAGCGUUAUCCGGAUUUACUGGGGGUAAAGGGAGCGUAGACGGCAGCGCAAGUCUGGAGUGAAAUCCCAUGGCUUAACCAUGGAACUGCUUUGGAAACUGUGCAGCUAGAGUGCAGGAGAGGAAAGCGGAAUUCCUAGUGUAGCGGUGAAAUGCGUAGAUAUUAGGAGGAACACCAGUGGCGAAGGCGGCUUACUGGACUGUAACUGACGUUGAGGCUCGAAAGCGUGGGGAGCAAACAGGAUUAGAUACCCCAGUAGUC
rnacentral:rRNA from 1 species